UUUUUUUUCAAACAAGAUAUUCGAUAAAAUUGGAACAAUAUAGAGAAGAUUAGCAUAGCCUAUGCGCAAGGAUGACAUGCAUAAAUUGUGAAAUGGUCCAAAUUUUU